AAGACUAUACUUUGAGGGAUCAUUUCUAUAGUUUGUUACUGGAGAAGUUUCUCUGAAUAUGUAGAGCACCACAAAUCACGAGGAAAAAGCGCAGCAUUCUCUCCUGAGCAUGAAGCCAGUUUUCAGUGUUGCUUCGAUGUAACUGCCUUCUGCCCUUGAUGAUCAUUCUUCUCUCCUCCCUGGAGAGUAAGAGGGAGAGGAGGCAGUCUGAGUGG
rnacentral:snoRNA from 10 species